CACUCUCGUAGAGACAGCUGUUUUGGUAUAUGAACACAGUAUCUAAGAGCUCAAGCCUAUAACUGCUUUGGGAAAGGAAUACUGGAGGGACUGCAGAGCUGAGGAUCUUUGUGGAAGAGUCAUGAUGACAAACACAGAGCUUUUUCACCUCCUGGCUUCAUCUCUUCAUUUUGGUCGCAGUCAAGCUGGAUGUCUAUUUUCAUAACAUUCAGACUUUGUUAAAUGUUUUCUCCAAUUUAAAAUUCUUAUUCUGAUUUUUUUCAUUCUUCUUCUUUCUUUCCUUAAGCACUUUGCCACUCUAAUUGAGGAAAGGAAUAUUUUAAAAGUGUGUUGAGACAAGGUGUCAUUCAUAAGGAAAAACUCCAAGAGAAAAACACUGUAGUUUUAAAUUUGAUCUCUAAGAUCUUGAGCCCGGAAUGGACCACAUGGCCAGAGCUGCACUACAGCCCAUGAGAUUUCAUCUUUAUAUUGUCUCACACUGAUCAGUUUUUGGAAUCAGGGUUCAAAAACUACGUUCAGCAAAAGACUUAGCUGCUUACAGAUUUUAGACUGUAGCACCUAACUUAGAUGCUUCGCUACAUUUCCAAAUGCCUGAAUCAGGGCUUCAGAGAGAUCUUGCUAUCCUUUGGGAUCCAGGGCACAGAAACCUCUUCUGAUGUAAGGACCUCCAGUUCCUUCCAUCCAUGUUUGUAUAAUCAAAUGGAUAGGACAUGCAUGAAGGAGCUCUCCAAAGCACAUUGCCUCUCAGAAGAAUACACCAGCCACCAGACAGAAAACUAACUGUGGUGGAGAAAUGUCCUCCAGCCCAUCUGCUGAAGCUAUAGAACCGUGCAGAAAGAGAACAAAAGCUUGGGUGGUAGACUGACCUUAGACUAAUGUCUAUGGUUCUAACCAGAUCCUAGAUUUUGAUCCCAGGACAUUCUCUCUAUUUCACCUAAUGGCUGUUGAAAAUGUGUAGCUCAGAACCCAGGCUGCCUCACUUACAAAUGAGCAGCCCAAUAUCCAAGUGGCAGACUUAGCUUCUCUGUAUUGCUUGCUUAUUCUCUCCUGAAGUCUUGGCUGUAGUGUUUUCAGAAGAAGAGGUGGAGAGUUUCCUCUAUCCAAAAGCGCUUGUAACCUGAUGGUAAAGGUGAUCACUUCAGGAGCAAGAACUGUCUUUGAACUUUGUUAGACUGAGGAGAUGACCAACCCAAGCCCCAAGUCCUGGAGAAGUGGCCUAGCCACUAAGCUGUAGCAUUAGAAGUGAUUUGUAGUGAUAAGUAGUUGCCACUACCUUUUAUGAAGAGUUACAUCUUGUUGAUUUACUUUAGAUGUGUAAGGAUACACAGCAGAUUAGUCCCUUCAGUGGAUUCACACUGAGAAUGUCAUGUUGAUGGACUCCCUUCAAGUUUGGAAGGAAGACAGAUGCUGAAAAGUUCAACCAGAACACUCACAAUCCUGUAGAAAACAGAAUUUUAGCUGCCCUGGAAACUUUGAAGCUUGCCAGGAAAGCACCUAGAGGUUUUUGGCCAGAUUGUAUUCAUUUUCACUGAGCCUUUUGAAGAAUUUUCUAUUUGGCCUCCGCAAAGUCGACUCUAAUUCCCUUUUCAGACGCCCAUUCUGAGGGCUCAGGUUGACCCUCAGUUUCUCCUAAGCAUCAACAAAAUUGAGUACUAGGAGACUGCAAGUAGAGAACGAAAGACAGUUUUUUAUAUGCCAGACUGAAUGUUCAACUAGACCAUAGCUUCAUUAGCUUUUUUUGUUUCCCUACAACAUGAGAAUUCCUACUCAGUUUCUGCUUUACUCUCAAGGGUAUGUAGAAGAUAUUUUGGAAUGAGUUUAAAACAGCUUCAGGAUUGUUUCAAAUUAUGCUGUAUACUGAUCUUUGCACAGCGAAAUUUAUAUCUAGAACACAACCAUCAUCUUUCCUGGAAAGAAUAACCCUCUUGCUUUGUAAGCCUCCUGGAGCUCCUACAGGGCUGUUCAAAUGUUUUAGUAUGGUAGAGCCUUAUCUUAUUCAGUAACAGAAAAGUAGAUUUAUCUCAAACUA